AUUGAACGCUGGCGGCAGGCUUAACACAUGCAAGUCGAGCGGAGAUGAGGUGCUUGCACCUUAUCUUAGCGGCGGACGGGUGUGUAAUGCUUCGGAAUCUGCCUAUUUGUGGGGGACAACAUUCCGAAAGGAAUGCUAAUACCGCAUACGCCCUAAGGGGGAAAGCAGGGGAUUUUUGGUCCUUGCGCUAAUAGAUGAGCCUAAGUCGGAUUAGCUAGUUGGUGGGGUAAAGGCCUACUAAGGCGACGAUCUGUAGCGGGUCUGAGAGGAUGGUCCGCCACACUGGGACUGAGACACGGCCCAGACUCCUACGGGAGGCAGCAGUGGGGAAUAUUGGACAAUGGGCGGAAGCCUGAUCCAGCCAUGCCGCGUGUGUGAAGAAGGCCUUUUGGUUGUAAAGCACUUUAAGCGAGGAGGAGGCUACCUGGAUUAAUACUCUAGGAUAGUGGACGUUGCUCGCAGAAUAAGCACCGGCUAACUCUGUGCCAGCCGCCGCAGUAACAC
rnacentral:rRNA from 1 species